UCAACUCCAGUCUCCGCUCCACCUCAACUCCGGCCCUACCCCAGCGCGGCCCGGAUCGCCGACUCCUCCUGCUUCCCCCAGUACACCGCCUCCCUCAAGUGUCUGGAGACCAACCAGGACAAGAGCAAGUGCCAGCAGCAGUUCGACAACUACAAGGAGUGCAAGAAGAGAGAGGUUCACCUUUGUUUCCCCAAUUCUCUCUAG
rnacentral:rRNA from 1 species